UUCCUGCCAUGGUUGUUCAAAUCAGGGAACUCCUAGCAUUUCAGAUCCCCAGGGCCCAGAGAGGACAAGACAUGAGCUCAGAGACAGAUGCCAUACCAAAGAUAGCGGCAAAAACACUGACUGCAUUUGGAGGGAUGAUGACAUCAGCACUCAGAAUCUCAUUCACAAUGAAACCCAUCUGCAGAUUUCAGCCAUGAAACUUUCA
rnacentral:lncRNA from 1 species